AGGCUCCAGCCGCGCUGCGGCGCCGGACAGAUGUGGUGCCCCUUCCAAAAAAACCCCCCACAAAAACUACCACCUAAACGCCCCGAUCAUCCAGAUGUGUGGCAGCUAAGAGGAAGCGCCCCGCGCAAAGAGUGACAGGCUGGAACUCAACACAUAGAAUUGUAGAAUUGGAAGGGACCACGAGGAUAAUCUAGUCUAGUCCAACAUGUGGGACUCGAACCCACGACCCUGUGAUUAAGAGGCUCGUGCUCUACCGACUGAGGAACCCCUCCUCAUUAUCUACCCUGUGAGGAACAGAGACAGCGAUGUGGUGGAAAACUUUGAAUUGAGAAAUUUUCCAAUGCACUAACCACAUUUGUACCAGGCACAAAGACUGCAAAAGAGGAUCAAAGGAAUGCUUCUGAGCUCAUCUGUGAAAAAUCCACAUCAAAACCAAAGGGGAAUCAAAAUAAGGAACAUCCAGGAUAUUCUAAAAACUGCAAAACUAUGUUAUUCAGCAUUUAGACAGUUUGAGCAUAAGAAGACCUUGUUGGCUCACGCCAUUGGCCCAUUUAGUCCAGCCUCCUGUUCUUGCAGUGGCCAACUAGAUGCCUGUGGGAAACCCCACAAGCAGGACUGAAGCACAAAAAAGGAGGGCCCAACCAUAGGAUGAGUUAGACUAGAACUUUGCAUUUAAUGUACAGAUUUUUAAAAAAUACAAAUAUCAGCUUGAGUGGUGGGGAUUAUAAUGACCAGGAUGCUGCAGGGGUACAGUAAUUUAAUCCUUUCCUUUGAGGGAAACCCCUCCUUUGCUGCUGCUGUUUGCUUUGUGAAGACAUCACAUUCCACAAUUUUUAAAAUUAUUAUUAUUAUUAUUAUUAUUAUUAUUAUUAUUAUUAUUAUUAUUAAAUUUGUAUACCACCCUUGAUCCAUAGAUACUUUGCUAUUAACGUUUACUUAUCUGCACGGUUCUUUUGCACCAGUCACUGCUAAGAGAAAUCAAAUUUCAAAUGUGGGUUUUUUUAAAGAAUCAAGGUACAAAUAUCAACUCCAGAAUGCAGUUUGCAAAUUGAGUGUGUUUCUACAAAAUAAGAUGCAUUUGGACAAUUCAAAAUUUAUUCAGAAUUUCAGUUUUGUAGGCUUCUUAAUACGGCAUUUGAGUUUCUCCCGGGAAGACAAACCCGCGAAAGAUAAUUCACUGUUGCAGACUGUGAGUAGUGAAACUGAUCUGUCCUAAUUCUUUCUUCUAAUGAUACAAUGCUAGCAACAUCUCCAGCCCUCUGUCGAUUACUUACAUGCUGUCUGUCAGGAUACAAGUCCUAUCAAGGCAGUUGAUAAGUAUCAUUAAAUUAAUGUCUCCAAACCCAACUCUUCUGGACAUCAGUCAUACAAGAAAUAUGCAAAAUAACUAAGCAAGUGUUAGAAAUCACCCCAGAACUGGCCCUACUGAACAUCUUCCAAGAUAAUAAUGCCCACUCACAUUGUAAAGAGCUCAUAACCCACCUACUCUCAGCAGCCAGAAGCAUCAUGGCCAGGCAAUGGAGAGACCUGUCAUGAGUAAAUAUGGACCAAUGGUAUCAAA